rnacentral:rRNA from 1 species
UACGUAGGGUGCAAGCGUUAAUCGGAAUUACUGGGCGUAAAGCGUGCGCAGGCGGUUAUGUAAGACAGUUGUGAAAUCCCCGGGCUCAACCUGGGAACUGCAUCUGUGACUGCAUAGCUAGAGUACGGUAGAGGGGGAUGGAAUUCCGCGUGUAGCAGUGAAAUGCGUAGAUAUGCGGAGGAACACCGAUGGCGAAGGCAAUCCCCUGGACCUGUACUGACGCUCAGGCGCGAAAGCUAGGGGAGCGAACAGG